rnacentral:rRNA from 1 species
AUUGAACGCUGGCGGCAGGCCUAACACAUGCAAGUCGAACGGUAACAGGAAGCAGCUUGCUGCUUUGCUGACGAGUGGCGGACGGGUGAGUAAUGUCUGGGAAACUGCCUGAUGGAGGGGGAUAACUACUGAAACGGUAGCUAAUACCGCAUAACGUCGCAAGACCAAAGAGGGGGACCUUCGGGCCUCUUGCCAUCGGAUGUGCCCAGAUGGGAUUAGCUAGUAGGUGGGGUAACGGCUCACCUAGGCGACGAUCCCUAGCUGGUCUGAGAGGAUGACCAGCCACACUGGAACUGAGACACGGUCCAGACUCCUACGGGAGGCAGCAGUGGGGAAUAUUGCACAAUGGGCGCAAGCCUGAUGCAGCCAUGCCGCGUGUAUGAAGAAGGCCUUCGGGUUGUAAAGUACUUUCAGCGGGGAGGAAGGGAGUAAAGUUAAUACCUUUGCUCAUUGACGUUACCCGCAGAAGAAGCACCGGCUAACUCCGUG